rnacentral:lncRNA from 1 species
AUGAAUAUAAUCCAUCUGAGACAGCGCUUAACUCCAGAAAAAGUGUUGGUGAAAAAUACAUCCUUUGGUGGGCCAGGGUCUCCAUCCAAAGUCUUGAUGUCAAGUCCUUCCACAGGCUUCAGGUCACUGUCACUCUGUUAAAUGGCCAUGGAUCUUCUGAGGGAAGGUUUGGAGGAAGAUUUGCAGUGUAUCUUUGUGUCCACCUUCCAGAGUGAUUCCUUUAAAACAACAAAACCAAACAAACAAACAAAAAAACUUGGCUCUAUCUGAAAAGGCUCUGGGUUUGUGAACUGGGUAAGAGGCCAUGAAUUCCCAAUAUAGUGCUUUUAUUUGGGCUCUGAUAACAUAGACUGAAUAAUAUUUUAGAAGGUUGACAAUCUGUUUCAUUCCUAAAAUUCUCUCACACACGAAAUUAACCGCAACCAUGUAUCCAUGUAGUCAAAAGACUUGUAUUGCCGAUCUUUGUGUGUGGUUUGUUGCAGUAGUGGUGACAACAUCACCCCUGAAACUGGGCACUGCCACCUGGCCUCUACCACUCUAAGACCCCAUCGUUCUUAUUGAGAGUAGGGAGCCCGGUUCUUCAAUAGCAUCUCUAGCCACAGAAGGCAGCCAUGGCAGAACUUUUGGGGGAUACUGGUACUCACCACCAAGUAUUCCUUUCUGCUUUAGGGAAGAAAGUGUCCUUUGGUCCUUCCUGGAGGUUAUGGUAAGAGUGGCUGAAUAGUUUACAGAUAAUAGGUCCACUCCAGCGUCCCCAUCUCCCUAAGCCUUUAAUUUCUUUCCUCUUUGUUGCAGAGAAGUCCCAACAUCUCACCUCAUUACUGAAGGUCACCAUUGAGUUCAGGCUUUAAGCAAACUAAUUAGAGCUUCAGCUGAUAUGAUGUAUCUAGAAUCUUAGAUAAGCUUUCCCAUACUGAUAAAUUCUUCUUGAACCAACUUGAUAUUUUUAGUUCCUUGAUUUAAUUCCUUGAGAGUCUAUUUAUAAACAUGCUUUCUCCACUCCCAUUUCUUGACUAUAAAAAUUGACAAGUUCCCAUCCACCCUUUCAUGCUCAAGCUAUCUUAUCUUUAAGAGAACUUUUCAAUUCUCCAUCUAGGCAUGGAAGCAAUGAUUGAUGGUGGGGAUUAGCCUUGACAGUAGGGAAAAUGUCUUCUCAAGGUAAUCAUUCCAGAUGAAGUCAUUGAAAGUGAUUUUUUUUUUUUUUUUUAGUUUGGAAAGACUGUAUUAACUGGCAAGAAUGAUUAGAAGAAUUUGAGAAUUCAAGUUAAGGGCCUCAUUUCAAGUCUCAGGGUUCCCUCUGUUUUCAACCAAUGUUUUAUUACAACAAAUCUCUUAGAUAGCAGUUAUAACCCUGGAUACAAAGAAGUGGGAUCCUGAGACUUGAGAUGGGGUGCUAACCUUAAUUUAAAUUUGGACUUCCAAAACCCCCCUGAAUAUUUCAUUGGUAUCUGCAACUCAUAUCACCUUGUCAUGCUUCUGAUCAUCAGCUAUGUCUGUGGUACAUAGACUCAAGGUAAGAGAUUCAUUUAAAGCUAACUAGAACCUUUCUGGUUCUCUAUCACGCCUUGAGUUGAAAAUUCAAGGUAUUUAGCUUAUAUUUUUGUUUUUGCAAUCUCUCCAGCAGCCUACAAUCUUUAUCACCAUAAUUUUCAAAUGAAACAGAUACAAUAGAUACUUAGUCUUCCAAAACCUUGUCGUCUUCUCUUUACCCUCCCCUGUCCUCCCACCUGAGUAGGCAAGUCAUCUGUGUGUUAUCAGAUAUGUGUGGAGUCAAUAGUAGAAUUUCAAUUUCAGGGGCUGUUUCUUGAAACUACUCCUGGAACCAAUUACUGUAUCAGCCAGGGGCCCAGUGAGAGUCAGAAGACACAAUGAUGGGACUGUGAGGAGAGUUUAAUGAAAGUCCUUGCUAGAGACAUGUGGGACUGGGGAGGAUAACAAACAGGAGCAACAGUGGAGAGGUGUUCCCAUCCCUAAGCCUGAGGAGCAGAGCACACAGUGAAGCCCUGUAAGGGAUGGAGCCUCAAGGAGAGGCCGCCUGGCCAGAGCUGUGUUCAGAAGGCGUGCGUCUACUGUGAGAAUCCUAGCACUGACUCCAGGCACGAGUGAGAAGAACCCUGCCCUCUUCCUCUUCCUCUUUUUUUGAUUUCCUGCUGGACUGCCACUAGGCCAGGUGAUAUGGUGGGCCAGCCCACUAUAGGCAUACACAGAGCAGAGCAGAACAUGGGUCUAGCUAGUGGAGACUGGAGAAUGGCUGAAUGGAGAAUAAUCACAGUAUGAUGGUGGCAGUAUGGUGGCUGUGGGAGUUGGCUGUGCAAUCGUGGUGAAUUCAAGAAGCAUCUCCAACUCUAUUCAGAAGUACUAUUCCCUUUGGUAGAAGCUGUAUUUUUUCAGGCUCCUUGUGCCAACAUAACAAUCCCUUUUCAUACCACAUCCCACCCCCAACCCCCCAUCCCCCAGUUGUCAGAAAUUCUUUCCUACAGGCCUCAUAGUCCCCAGGCAAAUCAGGAAAUAUGGCUAGAACUCUUUAAGUGUCCUUAAGAAUUCCCAGUUAUGGUGACUGUAUGUGGUUGUGGCACGUGAGAGCCUCCAGAGAGAUCGUUGCCUAGCGCAUCUUAGUCUGAGCCAAGAUAACUUGUUAGAGUAGUGAAGUAAAAGAAAAUUAAGGUGAGCAUUACUUGGAAGCAAGAUUAAUUUAUAAUGUGAUGUGGCAGCAGAAAAGCUGAAUGUUUUUUUUUGAAGAACUACAUGAAGAAUAAUCACAGUCCUGACUGUUUCUUCCCACACAAUUCAGUUAUAAUGCUUCAGACAUCACAUCUGAUUUGAAAUGUCUGAGUUACAUUAAGUUGCAGACAUUUGGUGGAAGAAAGGGUGGUGGAAAGGGAAAAUGUACAAUUAAGUAAAAGAAAAAAGCCUUACUAGCCAAAAAUAUUUUCCUCUCCUCCCAAAACCCAAAGUGAAAUAGAUUAAUUGGCUUGACUCUAUAGGUGGAAAAUUAAGUUUUACCUUAACAAUCAUAAUAAGUAUAAUGUAAUUAAGACAUAUUUCAUAGAGACUAUAUAUAGGGAAUGUGUACCUUGAGCAUGAGAAACCUGGCUAGAAAUGAUCACUCCUAUAUCAGUAGCAUAAUUUUUUCUUGAGAAAAAUAAAUCAGUCAUACACAGAAGUGAGGCGGAGGUG